GCAGAUGACAAAACAGCAUAAAUUAUCACUGCACUACUUUGCAUUCGGCCAUUCUCACUCCUCAAACUUCAAACUGGAAAGUACAGAAGACACAGACCAUGCUGCACUGCAGUUCUAAGGUCAGUGAGAUCUGCGUGGACAGAGGACUAGCCUGCUAGAGACUGCUGUUCCAACUUAGCAAGAGACAUGAAACAGAUACAUAAAUGAAUGC
rnacentral:lncRNA from 1 species